GGUGUUUGUUAGCUAUCUAGAAGUUGUCCAGGGCUCCCUGAGGGAGGCCAGCACAAGAGCUCUGCCAUAAAAGGACAUUGGACAGAAGUGAAGAGUCCAAUCAGAAACUCUUUUUGAGAGACUGAACGCAAAGCAUUCAGAGAGUCAGCAGGCUGGAGAGGCCAAGACACACACACGAAGAAGGCAAUUGAGAGCUGUACUAGCCUGGCAUGCAGACAGCAGCUUUAGAAUCAGAUCUGCCUUCUGGCGGCUUCCCACCUAGGAGCCAUGGGACCUUUGUGAAGUCACCAAUUGUGCUGUGGAUGCUUCAUUUGUGAAGGAGAACAGGACUGCCUUAUGAGGAAACUGAGGUACAGAUGGGAAACUUGCUCAAGUUCACACAGCAAUUAAGUGAUCAAGUCCAAGAGCAAAACCAGGCAGGCUGGCUCCAGAGCUCACGAUAGUCCACCACUGCUUUCCACCAUCACUACGGAAUCAAGUCCAUGAGGAUACUCACCUUAUGUCAGUUGCCUAAGUUGGAAAUUAUAGAAUCUUCAAAUUGGAAGGGACGUUAUCAUCCAAGAUUUCAACUUUCUACUCACUGCAAAAUCCCUUCUGGAACUUCCCAGAUUGAUGAAUUUUCAUCAGCUCUGCUUGAGUACUCCCAGUGACUUGGAAAAAAAACACUGUAAUAUGGAUAUGAAAUAUAAACUGUUCAUGGAUAAAUUAUUGCAUAAUAAAAACAUGCCUAAUGGCUACACUCCCCUAAUAUGUUCAUUUGACUUCCCAGGAUUUAGCAACCAGGGCCUGGAAGGCAGACAAAGGUAACUGGCCCCAUGUGAUAAAAACAG
rnacentral:lncRNA from 10 species